rnacentral:tRNA from 1 species
GGUCUCAUGGUGUAAUGGUUAGCACUCUGGACUUUGAAUCCAGCGAUCCGAGUUCAAAUUUCGGUGAGACCU